CUGAGCUGAAUUUUGCACAAGAUGGUCAUUCCAGGUGUCCUUCUGCGUCCCCUGGUUGAUGGUGAGGGCGGUGGAUGGGAAUACUCCCCGUCUGUCUGCAGUAAACAAAUCACACCUGGACUUCACUGUCACCAGGAGAAGCCCUGGUCAGUGUUAGGUCACACACCUGGUGGGGCAUGGCUAGCUGAAGGUCCAGAUGUGAAGGAACCUGUGAUUUCCCCUCCUUGGGCUUUUGUCUAGAUUAUUUGCUUCUUGAAUUAACAAUCUGUGCACUUUAAAGCAUCGUACGGAGUUUAUUGUGGGUUUUAAAGUCCAUCGUCAUCAAGACCAUGACUAUCGACAACCCAAGAAGCAGAAGAGAAAGACUGAAUAUUUCGUUCUCUCGGGUAGCGUGAUUAUCAUUCCUGUCUGUAUCUUUGCUCUGUGUUCACUCAGCCCCUGCAGGCCCCACGGCAUGCCAUUGUGGACUGUCAGCAGCAGUGCCCCGCUGGCUGUGGUCCUAUGCCCAGGUUUGCUCUGUCACCUGUGCUUGCUCUGCCAGCCCUGGCCUUGGAUUUGUGGCUGUGCAUAUGGCCAGCCUCCCCUGGUCUGUAACCACUGGACUCCCUGUUGACCUCUUGGUGGGAGCUCCCAGUCACUCUGCUCUGCUGCCCUCGGGUGUGGUUCCCCCUCAGGGAUCUCCAGGCAUGGUCUUGGCCCACCAUUGGCCCGGGCUCAACCUCCUUUUCUCUGGGGUGAGGGUGAAGGUUAGGAUGGGGAGGGAUUCAAUCCUUUACAGGUAUUUAUGACAUCACCUUAAAACAAAACAACAAAACCCCAUGAGUCAGGGUGUGUAAUUCACCAGCUUAAAACCAGUCCAGGGACCUCCUCUCCCUGUGAAGUCCUUCACUCCAACCUGCUUGUAGCAGACUGUGGGCCUGCUGUCUCUCACUGCUGAGCCUUUGCAAGCAUCCACUGCUGCCCUGGGAAGUCCCCAAGGUGUGGAAGGACAUCAUGUGAGUACCAGACUGUGCAUCCAGCUUGGUGGGAUUUGAUGAAGCCAACCUGUACCCCAGAAAGACAGAGCAUGGGGCUCACGGGGGAGGGAGUGACAUCUGGGGUCAAGUGUGUAGUGGGGAACCUGGUAUCUCAGCAAAGGCAGCUUGAAGAUGAGCCCUGA
rnacentral:lncRNA from 1 species